GAUGAACGCUGGCGGCGUGCCUAAUACAUGCAAGUCGAGCGAACGGACGAGAAGCUUGCUUCUCUGAUGUUAGCGGCGGACGGGUGAGUAACACGUGUAUAACCUACCUAUAAGACUGGGAUAACUUCGGGAAACCGGAGCUAAUACCGGAUGAUAUUUUGAACCGCAUGGUUCAAAAGUGAAAGACGGUCUUGCUGUCACUUAUAGAUGGAUCCGCGCUGCAUUAGCUAGUUGGUAAGGUAACGGCUUACCAAGGCAACGAUGCAUAGCCGACCUGAGAGGGUGAUCGGCCACACUGGAACUGAGACACGGUCCAGACUCCUACGGGAGGCAGCAGUAGGGAAUCUUCCGCAAUGGGCGAAAGCCUGACGGAGCAACGCCGCGCGAGUGAUGAAGGUCUUCGGAUCGUAAAACUCUGUUAUUAGGGAAGAACAUAUGUGUAAGUAACUGUGCACAUCUUGACGGUACCUAAUCAGAAAGCCACGGCUAACUACGUG
rnacentral:rRNA from 1 species